ensembl:lncRNA
UUUUGGCCUUGUUGUGUGUUUUAUGGUCUCUGCAUCCCCCUCCCUGGCUACAGCUGGAGCUGAGGAGGGCGGAGGUCUGAGUGCUGGUCAAGCUGGGAGAUAUGAAUCAGCUUCUCCUCAGAUGGGGCAGGCACGGCUUUGCAGACACCCCCAGGCUGCUCACCAUUUCUCCAGUUCCUGGGCUACCUCCGUGCCUGUGACCGACUGCUGAAGCAGGGCUAUGAGGAGGGGCAGGUGGAGGAGGCCAUGGAAAUGUUCCAGUACUCAGAGAAAAAGGCAGCUGAAUUCCUGCACUUGUUAGCUCAGUUCAAUGACAUGGGUUUCCAGCAAAACGAAAUCAAAGAAGUCCUCCUGCUCUGUGGGAACCAGAGGGACAAGGCGCUGGAAGAGCUCGUGAUGAAGAGGCAGUGAAUGUGGCUGGCACCAAAGGGGCAUCUUUGCCACCAGAGCAGGAUGCAUCCUGCUGCCCAUCCCUUCCUGGGCCACGUUUACAAAUACAGCCACAUGCGGAUUCUUACACCAUGAUAUAAAUAAUCUGAACUGAUAGUUUUUACAAAAGCCAAGUGCUUUUUGCAGGAGCAUUGGCUCUUCCUUUCUUGGGAAGAUUCUCGUCAGACUUUAUGACUGUUUGAACAGUUGUGAUGGGAAAUCUAGAUGUUAGCAUUUCCUUGUGAACUAGAAACUUGAAAAAAACGCACAGCUCAAAGAAGGGUACAGAGAGAACAUGGGCUGUGGUUGCUCUAGAUAGCUAAUGUGUGAUUUUAACCCAGGACAGUGCAAAAUGUCUUAUGCAAGGCUUUACACUCAGGAAAUCUGAACAGAGAGAUGGAGAACUGGCUUGCCUCUGCCUUUUAUUAAGCAAAUUCAAAGGGUGCUUCUCUAAAUGGCGAAGACAGUGGCUCAGAACCAGGUUUAGCACAAACACUGAGAUCAGGAGAAUCUGGGUGCCUGGGGGAGUUCCUGUGCACGGCUAAGUAUGGACAACAGGAGAUUCAGAUCACCUUAGGGGACAUUGCUCUUGUUUUGGCAGCAGGGCGAUGGGUGAUGUUCUCACAUAGAAGUACAUUAUUUCCCUGUAAAAUAGCUACAGAUGUAAUUUAUCCAAGUAAAGAUGCUUGGAGGGGUUCUUAUAAAAAGUGUCUUUUCCUAUGAAGAUGCCAACUGGCGCAACCUAGCAGAGACAACUCCUAAUUAGUCACAAAGUCUUCACCAUUUUCCAUGGUGUCCUUCCAAGCGAUCUCCUUGCCCAGUGCAAUUCAGCUGAGUUAAUGCAGCGUGUUCCUGCUCCAUGUCUCUCUGGUUAGCUCCCAAACACCGGCACACAGGCGUAGCUCUCCAUGGCUGCCUCCGUCCUUGCUAAGUGCCAGAGUGACGGUGACAAUCUGCAUCCAGAUUUUGGCCUGGAAUUUGACCUUUCCAUACCCAAGAGUGAGUGUUUUAUACCGGUGUUGUGAUCGACAUCUCCCUUGGAUGGCCAAGGGAGAUAUUCUGCUAGGAAAAGGGCAGGGGAAACUGGUCAAUGGGGCAUGGGGUGGCGGAGCAGAUCCAGAUCCAUCCAUCCAUGUUGUGCUGACUGGGGGGAGUGGCUUUGUCCUGACUUCCUUGCACCAAAUCAGCCAACACAGGGCAGUCACCCCUCUCCAAAGCACAGUGCUUUCUGAG